ACUCCCCUACCGUCCAGCAAGGCAGCAACCAGUCUCCGCCUCCAGCCUCCAGCAACCCUGAUCUCUCUCUCCUUCCCCGAGUCUCCGUUUUCUUCUGCUCCUCGGCGACUGGCGACUGGCGACGGAUCGGUCGGCUCCUCGCGACCUCGCCUCCUCCAGUCUUCAAUUCUUGAUAAGUUCUUCUCAUCAUCUGGAGUUGUGCACUUCUGCUGUUCUGGGUGACUGGAUUCAUGAUAAGCAGUGAGGUCAAUUGCACUCUCUCAGGUGAUGGGAAAUAAUGAUGUACCUAUUGAGGAAGAGAAGCAGGUCUUAGUCAACCUUGUUGUAGUCAAGGAAAAUGAGCAAUAUGAGUUUUCUUCAUUUCGGCCAUAUCAAAAGAAUCGAAAGUGAUUGAGAAAAUCAUAGCAGGAAGGGACUGUUUGAUUGUCUUGGCCACUGGAAGUGCCAAGUCUUUGUGGUAAGAGUUCCCUCUAAUUCCUUGUGUAGCUGAGAAUGAACCAAAAAGGUAGGAGUCAGAAGAUUAUUGAUUGUCUUUAUAAAAUUGUGGAUAAGUGCGUGAGAGCUCUUAUCAUAUUAUAAGUCUAUUGGAAUUUUGGAAUAAUGAGUCUUAUUUUGUGUAGUAUAAAAAGAUCUUCAUUAAUCGAUUACAUAUGUAUCGAGACAAAUGAUAAUUAGCUGGUACUUAGUCCUUCUCAGUAGUAUUUCCUUGACAUUGGACCCAUCAAAACUUUGGAGCAGAUAGCUGAUUUCACUACAAAAAAGAAUUCAAUUAGCUUCACCAAUUCUUGAUAAUUAUCAUUACUCUUCUGAGUUGGAUUCCUUAUUAGUGCAUGUAUAGCCUUUAGAUUUUAUGUUUAUGGAUGCAUAUAACAUCAACUUUGAUGCAAUCAGAAGCCGAUGAUGGGUAUAGGUGGACUGUAUGAUGUUUAUGUUUGCGAACGUUAAUGUGUCAAUAACUAUAUCAGCACUCCUAGCUUUCCGUCACUUUUAUGGUGCUCGGGCUUGUCCUCAUAAUGUGGUUCCUUCAGGCUAUGAUUCCCUUCUUGGAAAGGUUUGAGCCCCAAAAAACCCAUGUAUAGCCAUCAUUGCUUGUAUAAAUAAUUAAAUAUAAGUAUAAAAAUGUAGCUUUCAGGUUCUUUUUCUAAUUACUUUGUCAACACUGUUUUUUAAAUAGCUUAUUGUUUGGGCAGCAACAAGAGAAAAGUCAAUUUCUUGGAUGAAAAGAGCUCUUACCAACACUAUUAUAACAGUUUAUUACAGUGGGAGUCCAGUUUUGCGACAAGGAAGAACAUAUAUCAAGGUCUGCAUUGGCUAUUUUCCAUGUCUAGGAGAAAGAGAUUGAGAGGAAGAAGUUGGAGGUGAGAGACAGGGUUCAGGCUCAGCUGGGACGAGUUGAAGAAGCAACUAGGUGCUUAGCUGACAUGCACGAAGCAAGUAAACUGCGAUUGCCACUAAAUCAUGAUAUUGUCCAGGUUUAAAGCAUCCAUUAUGUUUCACAGCAUCUUCAAGUUCUUGGGAGGUCCCGGCAAGGCUUAUCUUGAAGUAUAGGAAAAAAAAACUACCUUGUAUUAUC